GUGAAUCAUCGAAUUUUUGAACGCAAAUUGCACUCUCUUCGGAGAGUAUGCCUGUUUGAGGUUCAGCCUAAAAAAAAAUCGAAAUAGUCUCUUUUUCGCGGCGUAUUUCUGCGGUAAUUUGGUCAUCUUAAACCUUUUUGUUUUAAGCGGCUUAAAAUUUUUUUUACGAUUUCACUAGCGUUUCUAAGAUGUUCUUCUU
rnacentral:misc_RNA from 1 species